GGGGCGGCCUCUCUGACGAGAAGGAGGCCACUGGGCUGAGACCAAUGAAUGAGAAAGAGCCAGUCACAUGGUGAGCUGGGAGAGGGCAUUCCAGGCAGUGUGACCAGCGCUUGCAAAGGCCCUGGGGCUGGACGGUUCUUGGUGGAGUCUGAGGGCUUGAGUCUGGGGGAGCCUGGCUGCCCAGAGGUGGCAGAUGACAUGAAGAAAUAACCAUGUAAGGGCUGGCUGUGUAUGAGAGCAAGCAUUGGGAAGGAUGAAUGCCAACUAUGUUCCAGGAACUUCUACUGUUCUCACACACCCAGAUGAGUGGUGUUCAGGUGGGUGGCACCCAGGUGAGUGGCACCCAGGUGGAUAGCAUCCAGGUGAGUGACACCUAGGUGAGUGACAUUCAGGUGAGUGGCAUCUGUGUGAGUGGCAUCAUCCAGGUGAGUAGCUUCCAGGUGAGUGGCACCCAGGUGAGUGGCAUUCAGGUGAGUGGCAUUAUCCAGGUGACACCUGGGUGAGUGGCAUCCAGGCGAGUGAUAUCAUCCAGGUAAGUGGCACCUGGGUGAGUGACAUCCAGGUGAGUGAUAUCAUCCAGGUAAAUGGCACCCAGGUGAGUAGCAUUCAGGUGAGUGACACCCAGGCGAGUGGCAUCCACGUGACUAGCAUUGUCCAGGUGCAUAACACCCAUGAGUGGCACCCAGUUGAGUGGCACCCAAGUGAGUCACAUCCGGGUAAGUGGGGUCCAGGUGGUGGCACCCAGGUGAGUGGUGCCCAGGUGAGUGACAGCCAGGUGAAUGGUGUCCAGGUGAGUGGCAUCCAGGUGAGUGGUGUCCAGGUAAGUGGCAUCACCCAGGUGAGUGGUGUCCAGGUGAGUGGCAUCACCCAGGUGAGUGGUGUCCAGGUGAGUGGCAUCCAGGUAAGUGGUGUCCAGGUGGUGGCACCCAGGUGAGUGACAGCCAGGUGAGUGGUGUCCAGGUAAGUGGUAUCACCCAGGUAAGUGGCAUCCAGGUGAGCGGCACCGUCGAGGUGACAAUAGCUAACAAUUAUUGGGCUCAUUGUGGACAGGCACUGUGCCAAGCUUGACAUCACUGAACUCAAUUCAUCCUCGCCAGGAGCUUAUGGGCCGUCCCUAGAUCAGAAUCUGAGGAGAAAGGACUUCCACAGGGCAGCCAGCGAGCUGGAGAGCAGCCUCCUGCCACCGCCAGCCUCCCUAGCCCAGUCCUGGAUAUCUGUGAAAGAAUGAGUGGAUCCCCACAGGCCAGGUGGGCUGGGAGGGAGGGCUACUGUUUCCUGGGACAAACGUGUGUGGGGAGCUGAGUGUUUCUCCUUUCUCAGUUCUGACUUCCCACAGCUAUCCCCAAACAUACUCGUUUACACUGAAGCACCAAGAGAUCAGAACCUUCUGGAAUCUUAAUAUGCGAGGAAUCGGUGGAGAAGAAGGCACUGAAGAAGAGUCGUCCCCAGGCCAGGCUGGAGGGAAACUCAAGAUGGCGGCCUGUCCCUCCUGGGUGGCGGAAGUGGGAGCAGCAGGGGCCCUGGCGGAUCCGGGAGGCCUGAAGAGCGGAAGCGUCCUCCCCUCUCAGGACAGCCACAAGGACUUUCGGGGGUCGUGGCAGCUGCUCCACUUCCAACUUCCAGAUCCCACUCACUUUCCUCUUUCCGCCAACUCCAACCUGGGACCAAGCAGGGGAAAGCGGCUCCAGCCCAGCUUGACGCCCCUGCAAAUGGAGACCUGUGCACCUGGUUGUGAGCAUUUUAGAGGGUGUCACACAGGGCAUACCCUUCGGUGCCUGGAUUCCUUUGAUAAAAGGGCAAAGCCUUGAACCUAAGUCAUCUUCGAGUCCUCAGCCCUUCACCCAGAGCCUGGCACACAGUAGGAGCACAGAAAGGUAUACAUCCAGCAGGAGCUGGCCCUGAGCUCUGAGUCCAGAUCAUUGCUCUUGGCUGAAGCAGCCUCUCUACUCACAAAGAUGAGCACCGUCCCUGCCCCGAGGAAACUCGUGGUCCUGUGGACUGCGGUGUGGAGGGAAAGCUUGGGAUUCUGAGCCUGGUAAUGCACCAUUACAUCCCCACUCACUCGGGCUGUAUGAACCCAGCAAGUCACAGGAUCACUGGGUGGUGAAAGAAAGAAACACUCACAGAAGCAUCUAUGCUUGGAGAGCCAUGCAGUCCAUCAUUGUGACUGCUGCUGUCAUUGCUAUCGUGGCUGUCACCAUUGCCAUCACUCGAUGACUUCUCUCCAGGCCCAGAAGCCAAGCUGAUGCCUCAUUCCUCUGGGUUGGGAGAGGGGCUGGGCAUGGACAGGAGGUGGGAAAAGGGAGCUGUGCUAGCAGAUGAUGCCAUCCAAGACAUCUGCAUCCUAAUCCCUGGAACCUGGGAUUCCACUAGGUUACAUGGCAAAGGGCGAUUAAGGUGGCAGGUGGAGUGAAGGUUGCUAAUCAGCUGACCUUAAAGUAGGGAGAUGAUCCUGAAUGAGACAAAAGAGAACCAGCCAUGGUGUCAUGAGAAGGACUCAAAAUGCAACUGCUGGCUUUGAAGAUUAAGGUGCUACAAACCAAGGAACGUGGUAGUCUCUGGAAAAGACAAGGAAUAGACACUGCCUUGGGGCCACCAGAAGGAACUAGCCCUGUCAACACCCUAAUUUUAGCCCAGUGAGGCCUGUGCUGGACUUCUGAUCUCCAGAACUGUAAACUAAUAAAUGUGUGUUGUUUCUGCCUCUAGA
rnacentral:lncRNA from 1 species